GAUGAACGCUGGCGGCGUGCCUAACACAUGCAAGUCGAGCGAUCUUCUUCGGAAGAGAGCGGCGGACGGGUGAGUAACGCGUGGGUAACCUGCCCUGUACACACGGAUAACAUACCGAAAGGUAUGCUAGUACGAGAUAAUAUGCUUUUAUCGCAUGGUAGAAGUAUCAAAGCUCCGGCGGUACAGGAUGGACCCGCGUCUGAUUAGCUAGUUGGUAAGGUAACGGCUUACCAAGGCGACGAUCAGUAACCGACCUGAGAGGGUGAUCGGCCACAUUGGAACUGAGACACGGUCCAAACUCCUACGGGAGGCAGCAGUGGGGAAUAUUGCACAAUGGGCGAAAGCCUGAUGCAGCAACGCCGCGUGAGCGAUGAAGGCCUUCGGGUCGUAAAGCUCUGUCCUCAAGGAAGAUAAUGACGGUACUUGAGGAGGAAGCCCCGGCUAACUACGUGCCAGCAGCCGCCGUAA
rnacentral:rRNA from 1 species